rnacentral:RNase_P_RNA from 1 species
UGAGUAAACCGGAUGGUCGCGGGCGGCACAACUUUGCCGCCUGAGGAAAGUCCGAGCUCCGCAGGGCAGGGUGCUGGAUAACGUCCAGUGGAGGCGACUCCAAGGAUAGUGCCACAGAAACAGACCGCCUGGCACAUUUGUGCCGGGUAAGGGUGGAAAGGUGAGGUAAGAGCUCACCAGCGGUUAGGCGACUAACCGGCUCGGUAAACCCCACCUG